GGGCCCGCACAAGCGGUGGAGCAUGUGGUUUAAUUCGAUGAUACGCGAGGAACCUUACCAGGGCUUAAAUGUAGAACGACCGAUUUGGAAACAAGUCUUCUCUUUGAGCGGUCUACAAGGUGCUGCAUGGUUGUCGUCAGCUCGUGCCGUGAGGUGUCGGGUUAAGUCCCUUAACGAGCGCAACCCCUAUCUCUAGUUGCCAGCGGAUAAUGCCGGGGACUCUAGAGAAACUGCCCGUGCAAACGGUGAGGAAGGUGGGGAUGACGUCAAAUCAUCACGGCCCUUACGUCCUGGGCUACACACGUGCUACAAUGGUCGGUACAGAGGGCAGCUACCACGUGAGUGGAUGCAAAUCUCGAAAGCCGAUCUCAGUUCGGAUUGCACUCUGCAACUCGAGUGCAUGAAGGUGGAAUC
rnacentral:rRNA from 1 species